UGGGGAAUUUUGGACAAUGAGGGCAACCCUGAUCCAGCAAUGCCGCGUGUGUGAAGAAGGCCUUCGGGUUGUAAAGCACUUUUGUCCGGGAAGAAAUCGCACCUGAUAAUACCGGGUGUGGAUGACGGUACCGGAAGAAUAAGGACCGGCUAACUACGUGCCAGCAGCCGCGGUAAUACGUAGGGUCCAAGCGUUAAUCGGAAUUACUGGGCGUAAAGCGUGCGCAGGCGGUUGUGCAAGACCGAUGUGAAAUCCCCGGGCUUAACCUGGGAAUUGCAUUGGUGACUGCACGGCUAGAGUGUGUCAGAGGGGGGUAGAAUUCCACGUGUAGCAGUGAAAUGCGUAGAGAUGUGGAGGAAUACCGAUGGCGAAGGCAGCCCCCUGGGAUAACACUGACGCUCAUGCACGAAAGCGUGGGGAGCAAACAGG
rnacentral:rRNA from 1 species